rnacentral:lncRNA from 1 species
AAUAGCAUCCAUUGUUCAGAAAAAAACAGAGAAAAAAAAAGUGAUCUCAUACGCGUAAAUAGAAACAGAGAUAAUAAUCCUCUGUCUAGCAACUGCCAACAAUCAUAACCCAAAAAUAAGAAAAAAGCCAACAACUGCAAUCCAAUUACCCUUUUAAUGACUUCAAGCAUUGCCUUCUUUUCCAGUGGACGAUAAAACUGCAGUUAGGAUCAGUACAUUCAAGGGCCAAGUCAUCGCAAGGCUCACCACAACUAUCGCAUGCUGCAUAAUCCUCUGUCUUGUCUACCAAAGCAAUAGGGUGAGGGUGUUUCCAAUAUCUGCGAACCCCCCCUGCCUUGACAUAUGGGUAUCUCCCGAGAGCACAUUCAGGAUGAGCAUCGAAGUCGCAUUCCUCACAACGGUAGAACCAGAGCUUCGGGUCUCUAUAUUUUUCACAAAUUAUGCAGGAAGGCUGGUAGUCAUUUUCAUUAAUGUAGGUGAGGAAGAGAGGAUGGUCAUCAUACUCGUGUCUUGCUUUGUAUGGCAGUGUAGCACAUUUCAUACCCAGCUUGAAAUCGCAAACCGCACAUUUCAAAAAUACCUUUGAUUGUUCACUGACACAACAGCCACUGCAAUGGGGAAUAAUCUCUCCGUCAUCUGCAAGAAAAGGGGGAAGCCAGUGACCUUCAAUAUUGCAACGGAGAAUACUCUUUCUGUCCGCUGGAAGAUAAAGGGGAUGCUCAUGACCUCCAUGUUUAAAAGAAUCUUUCAAUAUUGAUUUGAAGCAUCGGACAUCAAUGCAGAGUGUACAUACAUCACAUCUGUAACUGAGCCCAAGAAAACCUUGCUUACACACACUACACGUGUACAUGAACAUCAAUGCAGACUCCACGCAUCCAUGAAAGAAUCAGUUGGUUUUCAUGAUAUUGCCACUUUUUUUGUCUGGGUAAUUCUAUGCAGGUUUUAUCAAGAAAGAAAUUACAACUGGCACAACUAUAAAAUGGAGUUGAGAUUGGUAACAUGCACCCAUCACACUUUAGAUCAUCAUCAACCUUGUCAAUAAGGAUUAGGUUGUGUUGAUGACUGAAAUGUUCGAUCUCUUCAAUUAUUCUCUCUUCUCCAUGCUUGAUCUCACGAACAACGCGAAAGCUAGGUUCCAUGAAUUGAUCAUCAACCGUCACACUUUGCUCUUCUUUGUUUUCUUCUACAAUCUCUGUUGCAGAAUCGCCAUAUUCUCUACUACAAUUCACGUGUGCAACGAAGUCACAGUCUGGGCAAUAGUAAACUCCGUAUUUUGAGUCAACUUCCCGACGGCAAAUACCACAGUACUUGUUUAUAGAUUCGAUGCAUUGUUGAUGUUCAUACGUGUGGAUGAUUUGGGGAUGAUGAUGCAGUGCUGUUUUAAGGGUGAGUGGCAAUGAAAUGCAUUCUUCGUGGACCACGAGUUGGCACAUGGUGCACAUGAAAGGGGAGUCAUCUCCCUCAGGAAGAGGCGGGUAGAAGAUCACGAGGAAAGCUACAGGCUCCUCUAUUUGUGCGGAUGAGAUUCUUCAAGUAUGUGAAUAAGAAGACACUUUCCCAUGUCUUUUCUGGUUGGAGAAGAAGACUCGUUGACUUGAGUUGGGUCUCCUCAACUUCUUAUAUUACUCAUUUGCCCAAGGGUAGCGGUUUAAAAUUGCUUUCUAAACGGUAUUUUUAAUUAAAAAAAAUAUUUAAAAUUAAGUUUUUUAUGUUUUUAAAUAUGUUGAUAUUAAAAAUAAUAUUUAAAAAAUAAAAAUAUUUAUUUUAAUAUUUUUUUCAAAUAAAACAAAUAUUUUUAAAAAUAACUACUUACACCCUCCUAAUCUUUUUCCAAGUAGAGAUACUUAAAAUUAAAAAUCUAAUGAGAAAAUCCUUUAAUUAUUAGAAUCAUAAAUCAAUAAUUACAUGUAUAUAUAAUUAACCUAUUUUAGCUAAAUCUCAAAUAGGUCUUUUUUUCUAUCAUAACGAACUAUAUAAAUUAAUAAAUUUAUAAAUGUUAACUAUACUUAACAGUUUAAUUUUUAUAAUAAAACGAUUUUACUCUUAAUAACCUAGAAAUGUGAAACAAAUACAUAAUUAACUAAAAUUAUGAUAUUUCAUUUAAAUUAACUAAAAUAUUUUAAGCAAAUUGCACAUAACGUAGAAGUUUAAUAUUUUAUGUACUGCCUUUUAUUGAAUAACUUAACUAAAAAUUAAAGAUAUAAUUCAUAUAAUUGAUAUCAGUUAGAUAAGUGUUAUUUUAUAUGCCAAUAUUUCUAUGCAUUUACAAUAAAAUCUAUAACAAAAAUGUAAAAGCAGAAUUUAUGGAGAACUUCCUGCUACGCUAAAAAAAUGGUGGAAGGUCAGACAUCUUUGUCACUACGAAAGCUCAAAGAAACAACAAACUACCUUCACAGUUUUAAUAGAAUAUGAUUGAAGAUGAAAUAGCAUCUGAACAAUAUUGUUCAGAAAAAAAUAGCAUCUUUUAUUGUUCAGAAAAAACAGAGAAACAAAAGAGUGAUCUGAUAUGCGAAAAUAGAAACAGAGAUAAUGAGGAUGAAGCUAACCAUUCACAGUGGAAUAGGGCUACGCCACAAGUAUAGCCAACAAUCCAAUUACCAUAAUGACAUCCUGCAUUCCCAUCUUAUCCUGUGGACGAUAAAACUGCAGUUAGGAUCAGUACAUUCAAGGGCCAAGUCAACGCAAGGCUCACCACAAGUAUCGCAUGCCUGUGGACGAUAAUCCUCUGUCUUGUCGACCAAAGCAAGAGGGUGAGGGUGUUUAGGAUAUGUUAGAACCCCCCCUGCCUUGAUAUAUGGGUAUUUCCCGAGAGCACAUUCUGGAUGAGCAUCGAAGUCGCAUUCUGGAUGAACAUUUCAUCAUGUUCAUUAACUACAAACAAUUAAAUUCAGAUUAAAUAGAUAUAAUUUAUACAUACAUUUGUUUACAUAAUUUUUUUUUUUUAAAAAACCUGUCAUAUAUAUAUAUAUUGGAUUAGUCCAUUUCUUAGUUAAUGGAUCGUGUCCAUAUAAUAAUUUAACAAUGAAUACAAAAUAAAAGAUGAAAAUGAAAAAUAAUAUUAGAAACUAUUAGUCUUAGAGGAGCUAUCUUGAGUGGAGUUAGGAUCUUAAUUCAAAUAUUCAUAUCGAUCCUCUCAUGUUAUUUCAUAUCACAUUUUUCAUGUUUAUUACCCACAAAUUAUUAAAUUAAAAUAAAAAUGACAUCAAUUAUAUAUAAUAAAAAUAAAAAUUUAACUAUUUAUUGUUUAAAACAUGUCAAGUCAAAUUUAUAGUUUAAAUUAAACCCCUGAUUCUUUUAAUUAGUUAAAUUAAAAUUUAAUUACGUCUUCAAGCUCAUUAAUUUUUCAAUUAAACUCUUGAUUUUAUUAAUUAAAAUAAUCUAAAUUUGAGAGCUACUAGUAUUCAAUACUCACCUUCUGAAGUGAAACUCGACCUCUUCACCGACGACGGCUAAUUAAAUAAUUACAGCUGCUUGCUGCUACAUUGCAGAUCAACCAACGAGAUCCAGAACACAGUGAUUUCCUGUUAAGAUCGAAUACUAAAUUAAUCCAGUUUACGAGUUUGGUGAAUUGUUUUUUUUUAAUUAAAUUUGAUAUAUUUUAUUAAUUAUUUUUUUAUAUAUAAUUUAAAAAAAAUUAAGAGAAAAGUCAUGUUAAUGAAAAAUAAAUUUAUUGUUAUAUAAUUAAAUAUAUAUAUUUUUUGUAAAAUUUUCACGUCACAAAAUUAAAUAUCUUAUUAUGUGUCUUUCUCUUACCGUAAUGACUUGAUAUUUAGUUGGCGUAAACAAUUUGUUUUUAACAUUUAAUAAUAUGUAUAAUUCUUGAUUUUUUUUUAUUAAAUACAGGCAUGAAACUUUCGGUUCAUAUUUAAAUUUUUGUUAUGGUAAAAAAAAGUGUUGACAAUACUUGCAUUUAUUUUUUGUGUUAAGAAAAAAACUCUUAAAGCCUGUUUAUUUUUAUGUUUAACAUAUACUUUAAAAAAAUAUAAUUUUUUUUCUUUGCUUUAAUUUUAUUUUUUAUUUUUAUAAUGUUUUUAUAUAUUAAUUUAAAAAUAAAUUUUAAAAAUAAAAAAAUUAUUUAAAUAUAUUUUUAAAUAAAAAAAUAUUACAAAACAAGGUAUUAAUCCAGUCCAACAGAAAGCACGAGUACCGUGACUAGUGGUACGCGUGUUGCUACUUCACGCGUGAUGCUCACUGUUCAAGUGAAUGAAAAUUCAUUUGAACAGUACAAUGUGCUCAUUAUUUAGAGAAUGAAGCAAAGUGGGAGGAGAAAGAUUGCUUACCUGAUCUGCUGGAGGAGAUGAAGACGACGGUGAAGUUGAUGUUAGUCUAUGUGUUUUCUGCUUGCGUUUUUCCUUUUGCUUUCCUUGUCUUUCCGUCUAAGUUUAUUCCUCUGUUUCCUUCUCCCCCUCCUAAUUCUCUCUCUGUUUUUGGUCUCUCUCUCCCUGUAAGUUCCCCUGCUCGUCGUCUCCUCUCUUUAUGCUCACUGUUUUUGUUUUCUUAGCAGCUUUUUAGAUGAUGAAGGAGUUAAGGAGAUGAUGAAUAUAUCAGCUUUCUGUGAAUUUGUUUUGACUGAUUCUGGGUCUUUCUUUGUCUGCAGGGUUGAAGGCAAUGGCAGAGCCAAUACUCGUCUCUGUGUUGCUCCUCUACUUUUCUAUCCUUCUAUUCUCUGUAUAUUUCUAAUCAUGAAGAGAAAAUAAAUGUAUUCGAAUCAUGGUUGUCAGCAUGUGAGCAAGUUUAUCCUCCCGUUAAUUCAAUCUUUUCGGCGUAUUUUGAAAUCCUACAACUUUCGCUUUCCUAUUGACCCCUCUGUGCUUGUGUUUUCUGUCUGUUCAUACUUCAUCUAUGCCGUGUCAUUUAUGUUGCCAUUGUUAGGGCAGUACUUAACCUAAAUAUGCAAGGAAUAUGGGAGAUUCCUCUAAAAGGAUAAACAACCAGCAUUUCACUUUAAUUUCCCUUUAUUAAAUUAUUAUUGAAACUCCCUCUAUUUUUUUUCCUAUUUUCAUAAUUGAUAUGGAUUGCAAGCGACCAAUUACUCCAUGAUUGAAGUUUUCAAGUUUCUUCACUUUUAACAAAAUUGAGUUUGUCAAGUAGAAAAACAAGACGUGAUUAUUUUAGGCCAUUGUUAAAUAAUUUAAAAUCCAAUUAUAUAUAGAUAGAGUUUAUGAUAAUGAGAAGCUAGCCUCCAAAGAUUUAGAGCAAUUGGUGUAAAGUUGUUAAAAUUGGAUGGAACUUGAUAUCAGCCCAAUGAAUUGUAUUAAUGAGUGAAACUAAAGUCCAACUAAUGGAGGGAAAAUAAUGCUAUGAUGUUGAUAGCCUAAGGGGAACUAAUGGAGGAUUUUUUUUUUUAAUAUAUAAACACUAUAAUAUUAUAUUUUAAUUAGACAAUUAUGAUUUUUAUGUUAUAAUUUUACUUAACUCUAAUUUUAUGUGUUUCUAUAUAGAAAUUCUAAACUGUCUCGCCGCUGAAUUAUCUUGUGUAACCAAAUAAUCGAAAGGGACAUGGGCCUCUAAAUCCCUUCUUAAGAAGAUCGAGGCUUAUUCUUUUUUUUUUUAAAGAAAAAUACCAAAAACAUGAAUUAAUACUCUUCAUUAUAUAUCUUAAAGGAAAAGGCUAUCGGAUGCCCUUGAGGUGUUCAUUUUAAAUAUUAUUUAAAUACAUUUAUUUAUAAAAUAUCAGUUAGAUAAGUGUUAUUUUAUAUGACAAUAUUUAUAUGCAUUUACAAUAAAAUCUAUAACAAAAAUGUAAAGGCAGAAUUUAUGGAGAGCUUCCUGCUAAGCAAAAAAAAAUGGUGGAAGGUAACACAUCUUCGUCACUUGCGAAGGGACAAAGAAACAACAAACUACAUUGACAGUUUUAAUGAAAUAGCAUCUUUUAUUGUUCAGAAAAAAAGAGAGAAAAAAAAGAGAUCUGAUAUGCGAAAAUAGAAACAGAGAUAAUAAGUAUGAAGCUAACCAUUCACCCCAACAAUCAUAACCCAAAAAUCAGAAAAAAGCCAACAACUGCAAUCCAAUUACCGUAUUAAUGAAUUAAAGCAUUGCCUUCUUUUCCCGUGGACGAUAAAACUGCAGUUAGGAUCAGUACAUUCAACGGCCAAGUCAUCGCAAGGCUUACCACAAAUAUCGCAUGCCUGUGGACGAUAAUCUCCUGUCUUGUCGACCAAAGCAAGAGGGUGAGGGUGAUUAGGAUACGUGAGAACGCCCCCUAGCUUGACGUAUGGGUAUUUCCCGAGAGCACAUUCUGGAUGAGCAUCGAAGUCGCAUUCCUCACAACGGUAGAACCAGAGCUUGGGGUCUCUAUCUUUUUCACAAAUUAAGCAGGAAGGUUGGUAGUCAUUUUGAUUAAUGUAGGUGAGGAAGAGAGGAUGGUCAUCAUACUCGUGUCUUGCUUUGUAUGGCAGUGUAGCACAUUUCAUACCCAGCUUGAAA